rnacentral:tRNA from 1 species
CGAUAGCUCAGUCGGUAGAGCAGGGGAUUGAAAAUCCCCGUGUCGGUGGUUCGAUUCCGCCUCGAGGCACCA